AAAGCUUUAAGUUAAAAGUAAACUAUUAACCUUCAAAGUUAAAUAUAUAUAUCUAUGUAUAAGCUUUA
rnacentral:tRNA from 1 species